UACGGAGAGUGCAGACGUUGUUCGGAUUCACUGGGCGUAAAGGGCACGUAGGCGGCUCGGCAAAUCGGUCGUGGAAUCUCGACGCUUACCGUCGAAACGGCGGCCGAAAAUACCGGGCUCGAGGGCGUGAGGGGUCACUGGAACUCCUGGUGAAGCGGUGAAAUGCGUAGAUAUCAGGAGGAACGCCGGAGGCGAAAGCGAGUGACUGGCGCGUUCCUGACGCUGAGGUGCGAAAGCUAGGGGAGCAACCAGG
rnacentral:rRNA from 1 species